AUUGAACGCUGGCGGCAUGCUUUACACAUGCAAGUCGAACGGUAACAGGGUGCUUGCACCGCUGACGAGUGGCGAACGGGUGAGUAAUGCGUCGGAACGUGCCGAGUAGUGGGGGAUAACGCAGCGAAAGUUGUGCUAAUACCGCAUACGUACUGAGGUAGAAAGUGGGGGACCUUCGGGCCUCACGCUAUUCGAGCGGCCGACGUCUGAUUAGCUAGUAGGUGAGGUAAAGGCUCACCUAGGCGACGAUCAGUAGCGGGUCUAAGAGGAUGAUCCGCCACACUGGGACUGAGACACGGCCCAGACUCCUACGGGAGGCAGCAGUGGGGAAUUUUGGACAAUGGGCGAAAGCCUGAUCCAGCCAUGCCGCGUGUCUGAAGAAGGCCUUCGGGUUGUAAAGGACUUUUGUCAGGGAGGAAAUCCCUAGUGCUAAUAACACUGGGGGAUGACAGUACCUGAAGAAUAAGCACCGGCUAACUACGUGCCGGCAGCAGCCGCAG
rnacentral:rRNA from 1 species